rnacentral:rRNA from 1 species
AAUGAACGUUGGCGGCGUGGAUUAGGCAUGCAAGUCGUGCGGAAAGGCUCCUUCGGGAGUACUCGAGCGGCGAAAGGGAGAGUAACGCGUGGAUAUCUACCCCCUGGACUGGGAUAGCGGCUGGAAACUGCCGGUAAUACCAGAUAACGUCUGCGGACCACAGGUGUGAUUCCGCCGGGGGAUGAGUCCGCGUCCUAUUAGCUAGUUGGUGGGGUAAUGGCCUACCAAGGCAAAGAUGGGUACCGGGUGUGAGAGCAUGGCCCGGCUCACUGGGACUGAGACACUGCCCAGACACCUACGGGUGGCUGCAGUCGAGAAUCUUCGGCAAUGGGCGCAAGCCUGACCGAGCGACGCCGCGUGCGGGAUGAAGGCCUUCGGGUUGUAAACCGCUGUCAGAGGGGAGGAAAUGCAUGGGGGUUCUCCCUCAUGUUUGACCUAUCCUCAGAGGAAGUACGGGCUAAGUUCGCGCCAGCCGCCGCGGUAACAC